rnacentral:lncRNA from 1 species
GCCAUCCUCCCACCUAAGCCUCCCGAAGAGCUAAGACCACAGCAAGGAUCAGGCAUUGUAACAGCCUCAUGAAGUUGUGAAGAUUAAACGAAGUGACACAUGUGAAUCAUUGAGGACAAUGCUGGGCAAAUAAGACAACACAAAAAGAGAGAGAAAGAUGCUGUAUUCUUCCUACCUGUGUCCCAGAAUCCUGAACAGCCGCCGGUGUGCAGGGCCUGGUGGGAAGUGACGUUGCUGCAGAAGCUGCAGUGCUGACGAGGAGGGCAGCAUCCCUCAGAGAGAAGGACACCACAGAGAGUCCCUACCAGCCAGGAGGCUCUCACCAGAUGCGCCCCCUUGACCUUGGACCUCCUAGCUUCAAAAACUGUCAUACAAGACACUCUGUCUUGCUCUCUUGAAUUGCCUGCUCUGGUGGAAGCCAGCCAGCUUCUGCCAUGUCAUGAGAACACUCAUGCAGCCCUGGGAAGAGUCCACGUGGUUCUCUUUAGAAGACUAAAAAAAAG